AAAUUGAAGAGUUUGAUCAUGGCUCAGAUUGAACGCUGGCGGCAGGCCUAACACAUGCAAGUCGAGCGGUAGCACAGAGAGCUUGCUCUCGGGUGACGAGCGGCGGACGGGUGAGUAAUGUCUGGGAAACUGCCUGAUGGAGGGGGAUAACUACUGGAAACGGUAGCUAAUACCGCAUAAUGUCGCAAGACCAAAGUGGGGGACCUUCGGGCCUCAUGCCAUCAGAUGUGCCCAGAUGGGAUUAGCUAGUAGGUGGGGUAAUGGCUCACCUAGGCGACGAUCCCUAGCUGGUCUGAGAGGAUGACCAGCCACACUGGAACUGAGACACGGUCCAGACUCCUACGGGAGGCAGCAGUGGGGAAUAUUGCACAAUGGGCGCAAGCCUGAUGCAGCCAUGCCGCGUGUGUGAAGAAGGCCUUCGGGUUGUAAAGCACUUUCAGCGGGGAGGAAGGCGGUGAGGUUAAUAACCUCAUCGAUUGACGUUACCCGCAGAAGAAGCACCGGCUAACUCCGUGCCAGCAGCCGCGGUAAUACGGAGGGUGCAAGCGUUAAUCGGAAUUACUGGGCGUAAAGCGCACGCAGGCGGUCUGUCAAGUCGGAUGUGAAAUCCCCGGGCUUAACCUGGGAACUGCAUUCGAAACUGGCAGGCUAGAGUCUUGUAGAGGGGGGUAGAAUUCCAGGUGUAGCGGUGAAAUGCGUAGAGAUCUGGAGGAAUACCGGUGGCGAAGGCGGCCCCCUGGACAAAGACUGACGCUCAGGUGCGAAAGCGUGGGGAGCAAACAGGAUUAGAUACCCUGGUAGUCCACGCCGUAAACGAUGUCGAUUUGGAGGUUGUGCCCUUGAGGCGUGGCUUCCGGAGCUAACGCGUUAAAUCGACCGCCUGGGGAGUACGGCCGCAAGGUUAAAACUCAAAUGAAUUGACGGGGGCCCGCACAAGCGGUGGAGCAUGUGGUUUAAUUCGAUGCAACGCGAAGAACCUUACCUGGUCUUGACAUCCACAGAACUUUCCAGAGAUGGAUUGGUGCCUUCGGGAACUGUGAGACAGGUGCUGCAUGGCUGUCGUCAGCUCGUGUUGUGAAAUGUUGGGUUAAGUCCCGCAACGAGCGCAACCCUUAUCCUUUGUUGCCAGCGGUCCGGCCGGGAACUCAAAGGAGACUGCCAGUGAUAAACUGGAGGAAGGUGGGGAUGACGUCAAGUCAUCAUGGCCCUUACGACCAGGGCUACACACGUGCUACAAUGGCAUAUACAAAGAGAAGCGACCUCGCGAGAGCAAGCGGACCUCAUAAAGUAUGUCGUAGUCCGGAUUGGAGUCUGCAACUCGACUCCAUGAAGUCGGAAUCGCUAGUAAUCGUAGAUCAGAAUGCUACGGUGAAUACGUUCCCGGGCCUUGUACACACCGCCCGUCACACCAUGGGAGUGGGUUGCAAAAGAAGUAGGUAGCUUAACCUUCGGGAGGGCGCUUACCACUUUGUGAUUCAUGACUGGGGUGAAGUCGUAACAAGGUAACCGUAGGGGAACCUGCGGUUGGAUCACCUCCUUA
rnacentral:rRNA from 1 species